rnacentral:misc_RNA from 1 species
GAAAUGCGAUAAGUAAUGUGAAUUGCAGAAUUCAGUGAAUCAUCGAAUCUUUGAACGCACAUUGCGCCCGCCAGUAUUCUGGCGGGCAUGCCUGUCCGAGCGUCAUUUCAACCAUCAAGCCCCCGGGCUUGUGUUGGGGACCUGCGGCUGACCGCAGGCCCCGAAAUCCAGUGGCGGGCUCGCUGACACACCGAGCGUAGUAGCAUACACCUCGCUCAGGGAGUGCUGCGGGUUUCGGCCGUAAAACUGCCUUUUCUCAAGCACAAGGUUGACCUCGGAUCAGGUAGGAAUACCCGCUGAACUUAA